UGAAAAAAAAAACGUUUCAUAUGAUUGUUGCCCCGCACGAGAAGACGAGGGUUCCUCUGCCGCCGCCGCCGCGCCCACAUCUUCUUAUCCCCGGUGCUCGUCCUCUCCCCGCCGUCGCCGAAUCCGGAUGAGAUCGGCAGGAUCGGCUGCAUCUCGCGCGACGCCCGGCCACUGUGCUCGGGGAGAAGGGAGAAAGUAGGAGCGGUGCUGCGACCUAGGCAGCAACUCGCCAAGCCGGGCGGUGGCAAACGAGAGCCUCAGCGGUUGGCCGUCGAAGCAGAGGAAGAGAGGAGCUCCAGCCGGAUGCGAGCGGAGGACACCGAUGGCUCUCGGCGGCCAUCGACGGGAACUUGAAUGCCCCAGCCCCCAAAGCUCGCCUCAUCUUCUACCGGCAACAGGGGACGGCUUCCCUCCUGGCACCCGUAGGCAGCCUCGGCUCACCGCCGUCGGGAUCUGGCCAACACCGGCUCCUAGCGUUGCAUCCAUCAGUCCCGGAUCUCGCCACUGCAGGAUGCGGGGAAGAGGAUGAGGUACGGCAUGCAACAACGAAAGAAGGUGCAGAGCCAGCGACUGGAUUUUUUUUGGUUAAAGAAGGUACAGGGCAACGACUGUAUUUAGAUCAUAAUAGGAUCGGUUCGCAUUGGUGGCGCAGUAGUGCUGCGUAGGCAGCUGCUACCAAUCUUCACCAUGCUGGAUGAAGCCGUCAAGGUGAGAUGAUCGAUUUCUUGUUGUCCACUGUCCCCUAUUUAAGAUUACUGACCUGGUUCCUCUUAUUUCUCUUGUUGAUGCAAACCUGCUCACUUCACAAGCCGCGCUCACAACUUCCAACGUAGAUUUCGUGGCUGGCAUGCUUAUCUUAUUUUCCUUUCUGGAUCAGGGAACAAAUUGCUCGAUCAUAAUAGUUUGUUCUUCUUUCUGUUCCAGGAAAGCACCGGAAAGAGAUGUUUCUAUGCAGCAUAACCCAAAAGUUUAAUUUGAGGAAUUCCAUCAAGCGUAUGUUCUAUAGCCUCCAUCCUGUAGUUUAUUUCCUUUGUUUCAGGUUGUACAGAGGAGCUCAGCGACAACUGAGGUGCUGCUAGAAUUACAUCAGCUACUAACUUACGUUAAUUUAAUCAAUUCCAUUGGCGUACUUUAGGAACGAGGCUGUAUUGGGUGGUCUCUGACCGCCUGACAGACAAUACAGAGUCGCCGUAGUUGGGUUGUGUUCAUGUAACACUGAAACUUGACAUAGUUAGUAUAAGAAGGUUUGGUUUACUUCCACUAUGUUACUGUUCAAUCUAUUUUAUAAACAUGUUGAUUAGCCAUUCUGGCAAAGAUGCAUCUUCAAUAUUUCAGAAAUCUCUUUUC